UUUUACAGUUAAAAAAUAACCUCAAUUUCCCUAUGGGAUUAUAAUAAAGUUUAACCUAACCUAACCUAAGUCAAAUUUCUUUUAAGUCAUACUUGAUAUAUACAGCAUUUUUGUAACAUAGUUACUUGAUUGCACAUUAUGACAUUGUUCCUGGAAUAUACUAGGGUUGUAGUGAUUCCUCGAAUGAUUCAACUAACUACAAUUAUUAAAAUUCCUCGAGAAAAAUUACCUGCCUAGAAACUUCGUUAUAUUAUGUUUUAUUAUUUAGCACACCGUGUUCCGUCCUGGUGAUUAUUUAUGUUGCGCAAAACUCUUAUUUCCGCAUACGAGUUAUUGACGAAAGCUAAGUGCUAGCAGCAUAACAUCCAAUUUUCUAGUUGGCUCCCUUGUCCAGGAU